GAGGGUAUAGCUCAGUGGUAGAGCGCAUGCCUAGCAUGCAUGAGGUCCUGGGUUCAAUCCCCAGUACCUCCA
rnacentral:tRNA from 1 species